CCGCCGGUAGCGUAUUCAGGUGAGCGAGUGCUUGCUCAUCGCGAUUGGUGGACGACAGGUAAAGUGAGUAAACGUAGUUCUUCUCCGCGCUGGCGGGC
rnacentral:tRNA from 1 species